rnacentral:rRNA from 1 species
UACGGGGGGUGCAAGCGUUAAUCGGAAUUACUGGGCGUAAAGCGUGCGUAGGUGGUUUUGUAAGUUGGCUGUGAAAGCCCCGGGCUCAACCUGGGAUGGUCAGUCAAAACUACAAGACUAGAGUACAAUAGAGGGGUGUGGAAUUUCCGGUGUAGCGGUGAAAUGCGUAGAGAUCGGAAGGAACACCAGUGGCGAAGGCG